GACGAACGCUGGCGGCGUGCUUAACACAUGCAAGUCGAACGGAAAGGCCCUGCUUUUGUGGGGUGCUCGAGUGGCGAACGGGUGAGUAACACGUGAGUAACCUGCCCUUGACUUUGGGAUAACUUCAGGAAACUGGGGCUAAUACCGGAUAGGAGCACCUGCUGCAUGGUGGGGGUUGGAAAGUUUCGGCGGUUGGGAUGGACUCGCGGCUUAUCAGCUUGUUGGUGGGGUAGUGGCUUACCAAGGCUUUGACGGGUAGCCGGCCUGAGAGGGUGACCGGCCACAUUGGGACUGAGAUACGGCCCAGACUCCUACGGGAGGCAGCAGUGGGGAAUAUUGCACAAUGGGCGGAAGCCUGAUGCAGCAACGCCGCGUGCGGGAUGACGGCCUUCGGGUUGUAAACCGCUUUCGCCUGUGACGAAGCGUGAGUGACGGUAAUGGGUAAAGAAGCACCGGCUAACUACGUG
rnacentral:rRNA from 1 species